rnacentral:rRNA from 1 species
AUUGAACGCUGGCGGCAUGCCUUACACAUGCAAGUCGAACGAGUGGCGGACGGGUGAGUAACGCAUCGGAAAGUGCCGAGUGAUGGGGGAUAACUAUCCGAAAGGAUAGCUAAUACCGCAUAUCAUCCGAUGGGCCGAUGGUGGAGUAGCUGGUUGGGGGGGUAAAGGCCCACCUAGGCGACGAUCCUUAGCGGGUCUGAGAGGAUGAUCCGCCACACUGGGACUGAGACACGGCCCAGACUCCUACGGGAGGCAGCAGUGGGGAAUUUUGGACAAUGGGCGCAAGCCUGAUCCAGCCAUGCCGCGUGUCUGAAGAAGGCCUUCGGGUUGUAAAGGACUUUUGUCAGGGAAGCGGUACCUGCAGAAUAAGCACCGGCUAACUACGUGCCAGCAGCCGCGGUAAUAC